rnacentral:misc_RNA from 1 species
GUUUAACCCUCACACUCUAACAAGUGUGGAAAUGAGACGUCUCUUUUUAAUAAGAGUGUCUUUAAACUGAUAACCUGCUCUUGUUUUUCAAGACUUGUGUUAAACGGCAAGAUUACUGGAUGGUUUUAACCGUUCUUUACUUUGCUUACUAGACAUUUGAGGCGAAUGCAAGUAGAAGGCAUUUUAAGUGCACGAAAGCUCUUGUAAAAAGGAGUUUUUAAG